rnacentral:lncRNA from 1 species
AUUUUUUUUUUUUUUUUUUUUUUUUUAGGUGUGUCCCGCAGGGAGUGGACCCCGCAGACUAUUCACCACCCUAAAUACAAGAACAAAUGAUUGACACUUGAUCCUCAAAAUAUAACAUGGAUUCUACUUUGUUUGGAUUGCAUUUUUCUAUAUUUUUUAUAAAAAAAAAUUAACGUAACGAUUUGAUAUAUAUAAAAUAAAAAAUAAUAAAAAAACAUAACGAUUUAAUAUAUAUAAAAUAAAAAAAUAAUUAAAAAAUAUGUUCGCGGAAGAGAUUCCAAAAUAUAUCGUGGAAGAAGUACCAAGCUUCAGUAAUUUGUAUUCAAACGCAACAGAACUCAAUCUUGGACGUUAAAUUCCAAAUUGAGGCCUUGAGCAGAUGAAUUUUCACAGGGAGCCAAAAAAGCAACAGUAAUGAAACUAUAGUAGUGCAGGGAAAUGUUGGAUAAUGAUGGAACACCGUCCACGUAAAUAUGCACCAUUGUAAGAGGCUACAAGCGACGCGCGGCGUGGAGACAGAAUGAUAGCAAGUAUCUCUUCACAUAUUUCGUCUGUCAAAUGCAUGAUGAUGAUGAUGGAUAGAUCCUCCAUUGCAAUUCACAGGACCCUGCUGAAAGCCUGACCAAAACAACCAUGACUUUGUCUGAUUGUGCAUUCUUAUAGUAGUAUUUUAAACAUCUGCCUAAUAUGGGAUCAGGGCCUCAACCAUCAAGAAAAAGUGAAGAAAGUUUUGCCUGCAAUUGUACUCAAUUUCUGACAAAGUGAAGUCUGUUAUGGUUUUCAGAUGAUGGAUUGUUUUGGAAGAAAUGAGUGAUCUUGAAGUUUUACCUGUAUGAUUCAUGUUCUUUGAUUUGACAAAAUUGUAAGUUUAUAUUCUUUUUUUUUUUUUACUAAAUACAAUAGAUCUAUACUUAUUCUAUGUUAUGGGUAGGAGAGAUCUGAAAAGACUCAAGAAAAAAUCGGUGAGGACUGAACUAUCACCGGUCAAGACAGAUGCAACCACUUAAAAUGACAAGUCACAUAUAAUGGCAAAUAGUGGAAGGCAAAGUUUGAACCACGUAUAGUGACAAAAUUGUAAGUUUAGUGGCGAGAUAACUAAUGUGGUGUACAAACACGAAAUAUUGAGGAUGUUAGGGACAAAGUUUAAAUUGUGUGAAUACUUUGGGGCAAAAAAAAAUGAAGAUAACAUUUGGUUCAAUAUUUAUAAGGGGUAUGAUUCUAAAUAACUUGUGAACCUUGUGUAGAAUAUUUGAAUUCAUUCUUCAGACCUAUUAUUAUGGAAGAAAGCAGAAUACAGUGGUGAAAAAAAAAGUCUACUUUUGCUUUAUUAUGAGCAAAAUUUAAGACUUCAAAAUUGCAAAUGUAAUGCUCAACGAGAUAUAAUAAAAAUAAAAAGUUAAAGAAAGUAAUAAAAUGCCUGUUCUAUCAAGAAGUCGAGGGGAAAAAAAUCAUGAUCAUGAUAGUUUUGCUUCAACUUACGCUCUUCUUCGCAUUAUUUGAAUAGAUAGCCUUUCUCAUUAGUCUUAGUUAAUUUUUCACUUAAAUAUAACAAAAAAAGGUUUACUUUUAUUAAGUAUGUUAUAAUAUAGUAUUCGAUUUAGUACUAUUGCUUUCAAGGCUAAUAUAAAAGUAGAAUUUACAUACACAUAAUCAACUCGUCUUGCAAGUGGAUUUCAUGAAUAGAUCGCAUGAAUAUAUCUUCCAUUAGUAACACAGAAUUACAAAAUUGCUCAAUACAUGGGGAAAAAAUCCAAAUCAAUAGAGUACUCAAUUACGCCUGAAUAAAUUGAGGGUAAUUUUCACAUAAAUCUAGGGAUUAUUGCAAGAUUCAUCUUAAAUAAAUUAAUGAAAAAUCCUCAAUUAGCUCAAACACAUAAAUACUUCUACUUGAAUAGAGUUAAAAAAUGAACCAACUUACUUAAUAUUCAAAUCGAACUUGACUUGACAAGAGUCUGUUUAAGUUUGGUUUGCUAAUUAAUCCAACCAAAUUUGAACAGUGCUUUAUGUUCGAAAAUAUUAUUUCAACUUGGACAAAUAUCUCGUUCAAACUUUGUUAGAUAGAUAAAUAAGUUAAAUUAAUUAAAAUAAUCAAAUAAAUUUAAGCACUAGAAUAUUCAAUUUGAUUAAACGCGUAAAAUUGUAUAUAAAUCUCCUACUCUCAAAUCCUUUUAAAAAAAAAGGAAAAACAGUGGCAAGCUGUAUCUCUUUUUUUUUCAAAGACGAUAAAUCUAAUCUAUCCUAUACUAAGGGGAAGGGGGCAGACCUAAGGAGACUCAGGGAUAAUCCAAAGGGGACUAAACCACCAUCGAACCAAACGGGUGCACAGCACACCCGUCUGAAUUUUUUUUUGGAAACAAACCAAUUAAAUGUGAUAUUUUGGUGGGAGGCAAGGUUUGAUCCUGUGUCAAGCUGUAUCGAACUACAAACAUGCUACUAAUUCAUACUAUAGGUAGGUCCCACAAAAAGCCCCCGGUGAGCCGCGUACUCUGUCGGUCCACGUGGCAAAAGAAACAUGCGGUGUGUCACGUGACUUGGUGCCCCACAUUGUCGGCUUGUCGCUCUGAUGCGACAACCUUUUACCUUUUAGAUCCCACUGUUAGUGUUAUGCUCCUACCCUUUUGUAUCGCCAAUAUCUCGUGUUUCGUGCUUCUUCUCGUCCGAGAUCUUGACAUUUUCUCCAUUUUUUUUCCUACAAUUCCUUAUGAUGAAAUUAUGACCAGUAAGUAAUAAACAGAUUUAAUAAAAUAGUGGGUUUAAUCGUUAAAAAAAUCUUGACAUAGACAUAAAGUAAAUGGAGCCUUCUAAUCUUCAGUUGCUAUAAAAAAAAAAACAUGUAAUAUGGUCUAUGAUCAUAUGAAGACCAAUUUGACAACUAGCAUACCAAAAGCAUUUGAGAUAAAUUACUAAUUCAACAUGGAAGAAAGCAAUCAGCCCUCUAUGAUAAAAAGCCAUGCCCUAAAACUCUAGGGACAACAAUAAUGGAAAGUAUAAAUGGUAUUCAAAAGUAAUUAAUUAAUUUGGAAACAUUAUUGUACUUGGAAUCUCAAAAAAUGCAAACCAAGAUUAAUUACCUUUACGCUUUUUACAAAACAAAAUAGAUCAAAAGAGAGCAAUUAGAAGAUGGCUCAAGUGCUAAUAUUUUCAAAAUUAAUUUUAAAUAGAGAAAAUAUUUAGAAUGUAAAGGAUGAUGUAUAUAAUUUGUAUCUAUAUAAAUAUAAAUGUAAAGAGGAGGUCUUGGUCUAAUAGUUAAAAUUGAAAUCUCAAAAUUUAGAAGCUGCUUGGUUUAAAUCCUCUUCUCAACAAUUUUUAUUUUAAAAAAAAUAGUCAAUAAUGUGUUAUUCAUAAUGCCUAUAAAAAGAUGCGUGUCUGUCGAUAUAUUUCAAGUGUCAUAUUUUAACUUCGUUAACACCUUUCCACACUAAUAAUAAUAUCGGUUGGGAAAACCCUUAAAUAUUUUACAAAACAUAAUGCUGUGGUCCCAAUUGGAUGCUUAUGAAUCUAAGCUGGGAAUUGCUAAAUCUUUUUGUUGGUAGAUAAAUUCUUUUUCGGUUGUGGAUCGCCGUACUUUAGUGGUAGCCCCAUCUUCUCUUAAAUAAACGUUCGUAGUUAGUUUUCUCUUCAGCUUUUGCACAGGCCCACAGGCCACCGAUUGGCAGCUGUUUUAGGUCUCUACUUUCCAGAACAGGGUUUUGUGCUGAUUGUCUUCACAAUAGUCGACAGCAGAAAGAAAGAAAGAAAGCUAGAGAGCAUGGAGAAGCAAAAAUGCCAAUAUUUAUGCUUUUUUUCCUUGUAAAAAGACUCAACCUUUAGACUUUGGCCAUUGCUUUUUUUUUUUUUUGAUGCUAAAGUUUAGAGACACCUAAGCUUAAUUAAGAUUGUCAAAAUAUUUGGUACUGUUGGGAUGAUGACAACAACAGUUACGAUAUCAAGGCAAAGUCCGCAAGAUUUCUCUUUGUUAAUCUUGGUUUAAGGAUUUGCCAUUUGUCCCUUUCCAUUUUUGUGUUCUUUUGUCGGCCAUUUAAGAGUUAUUAAUGUUGUUAGCAAGCAGGUUAAUUGCACUCAUCUUAUGGACCUAACAAUUCUUAGGUUAAAUGCAUUGCACGUUUGCAUUAUCAAGAUGCUUGUUGUCUCGAGGAAGAAAAAAUCACUUGAUUAUUUCAGUGCUUAUUCUAUCCUUUUGAUUCGAGGAUGAAUCGAUCAUCAAAAGAAGAAUUAGGCCAAAAAUUAGGACGCAUCAUCGGAAAAUCAAGCUUCCAUUGGCCGUAAAAAAAAUUCAAUUCAUUUCUUAAUAAUCAAUGAAAGUGUCGUUUCCUUUUUCCUUUUCCUCUUCUUUUUUUUUGGGGGGGGGGGGGUUUGAAUGAAUUUCUUGUUUGCUACUAUAUACUUUCUUAAGUGCAUGACAGUUAAAUAAAGUUUACAAAGUAAAAGACUGAAGUGCUUUACAUGACAAAUGAUACUGUCGGAAAAAUAUGUUAGUAACACCAUAGAUGACUUAAUUUUUUUUGUUAUAUUAAUGAACACGUUUAUGAAGACUUAGGAUUCUUAAUGAGCAGAGCACCCUCCUUAAUCUUGAUUAUCUUGUCUGCUCCAACUGUAUACUUUUUUUGGUCAUGCUUUACUUUUGAUGAAUUUAGAGUAUGAUCCCAUCUUUGGUAAAAACAGAUGCAAAAGAAAGAAAGUUGCUUACGCCCUAAAGAAAGGACAACACAGAAACGGAAAAUACAGUAUUGACUUAAUAAAGAGUAAUUAAUAAAGUGUUUAGAACAAUAUAAUACUCACUCCGUCCCUCUUUUGAUAGUUUUAUUUUUCUUUUUUAUCUGUCCCAAAUUGUAGUCCACUUUCCAAUUGAAGAAUGUAGUUGUAUUUUAAUUUUUCUAAAAUACCCUUAUUCAAUGUAAGUUGUUGUUACUCGAAACCUAACCCAUUUAAUGAGAGUUGAUUCUUUUUUUACCAUCAAUUCAAGUUCCCAUAAAGCUGUACUCUAAUUAAUGUGAGGGUAUUUUAGGAAAAUAGCUACCUAAAUCGAUCGUUCCAACAAAGUUAACUACUUUUUCUUAAACUGUGUGAAAAAAAAAACCAGGACUAUCAAAGUGGGACGGAGGGAGUAUUAUCUAUUGCAUUUGACUAGUACUAAAGAGUUUACAAAUUUAAAUGAAUAAAACCAUCCCAAUUUUGUUUUUCCAAAAUAGUUUCUCGGAUUGAGACAAUUGAGAACCUAAUAGUUCAUACACAUAAUUUACAUGUGCAAAAUUUAUUAUUAUUAUUUUUUAAUAAUUUAAGCUUGUACAAAUCAGUUGAAUCCAUGAUCCCAAAGUGUUACUUACUAAUCAAGUUGGAAAGAGACAUAAUUAGUUUGCUAAUUAUAGCAAUCAAGUCUACAUGACCUGUAUAUCAAUUUCAACAAGUAAAAUUUCUCUCCCAAUCUUUAAGUAAUUACGAAAUCAACAUUAACCUACAACCUUGGAAAUUAUAACAAUCUUGGUAUGCUGAGUCUAUUAUACUUGGGAAGCAGUUGUAUAUGUACCCUUGGAGUCUUGGACAAAUUGCUGCAUGACAGCUUCAUUCAUGCAUGCAUGUUUGUUUUUUUUUUGUCGAGGAAAUUCAUGUAUUGGAUUUGGAAUAGCUAAGCAAUUGUUAAUGGCAUGGUCUUAUAAUUAUAUUUCCACUAUUUUUUUGUUAUCAUAAACAUGUUUCAUUUAAUCAUUUUUUAAUUUUACGAAUCAUCUCUUUAUUCACAUAUACAUUAUAUGACAGACAGUACUAUACAAUUAUUUCAAAAGAUUUUUUAGAUAAUAUUCUAUCCAAACACAAUACUACUGUUAUUGAAAUACACAGUGUCAUUAAUAUAUGCUUAAUUAAAUAAAAAAGAGUUUUGGUCUUCACUUAAUUAGCUUCUUUCUUGUUUUGCUUUUUCUUUUCUUUUCCUCUACUCUGUUUGUGGCUGAAACCAAAAAUGUUGACUAAACAUCAUUUUCAUGGUAGCUAAUUUCAAAAACAUGUUCGCAAACUUGCUGACUAACUGAAAAUGGCGAUAAAAUGCAAAGAAUUGAAAAAAGAGGUCUGAGAAAUUGAGCAAAGGAAAAACAAAAGUAAUCAAAAGUUGAAAACUUGAGAAGAAAGAGUGUUCCUUUUAGAGUGCUAGGCGCACUAGCAGACAUAUGGGUCCCAUACACAUCACUCUCUCCACCAUCAGCACCCACCUCAAGGCCUCAACCUACUUCUCCUUCACUCCCUCUUCCUCCUUUUUUUGGCUCCCAAAACCAUUGCACAUUCUUCCCUCUACUCUCUUCUGUCAACCCUUUUGGUUUUACUCUCUUGUUCACACCAUGGAACAAACUCUAGGCUUACUAGGUGGUGGUUGUGGUGGUGGUGGAAGUGGUGGUGGACCUGGUGGCAGUAGUGGUGGAAGUGGUGGUAGUGGUUUGUCAAAUGAAACUGCAUCAUCAGCUGUGUCCAAAGUGGAGAAAGAUUAUAUGGGCUUGUCUUCAGAGGGUUCAUCUUAUGAAAAUGAAGAGGAAAUUGAGUUGGGGUUAGGCCUGAGUCUCAGUAGUGGUGGCGGUACUGGUGGGGUGGGAAAGAAUAAAGGGUCAUUGUGGGGCGACUAUGGGAGGAUAUUGACUGCCAAAGACUUGCCUAACGGCUUUUCUGGAAGAGCCGGUGGUGUUUCUGGUACAAAAAGAGCUGCUGAUUGUGUUAGUCCUGCUGAGAAUGUGCCUGCCUCCACUGGAGUCAGGUUAGAAUUAUGUUCAUUUUUUUUCGCAUGCAAAAGAGUUUCUUUUACAUUUGAAAGCUUUGCUUUCAGUUUGGUGCUCUUGAAUUGCAGUAUUUUGAGUGUUAAUAGACAUGACCUUUAGAUGUUCUAUUUUUUUUCAUCUUUUUCUGGAUUCUUCUUUUUUCGUUGUUUCAUGAGUUCGUUGAUUUUUCAUGUGUUUGUUAUUUCUUGUUUGCAUUUUAGUUCCUUGAGUGUUAGGUGUGUGUGAUCUUGCGAACUACGGUCUGAUUAGCCGUUACUCUGUGUGUGUGUGUGGUUUUUUUUGGGGGGGGGGGUUAGUUUUCCUUGAUCAACAAUGAUUCCUCCAUUUGGUUAUCUAAUGGUAUAAUCCAUUCCUGUAAGGAUCAUUUCGUUGACAGUGGAACUCAUCUGUGUUACUGAAUCCCUUAUUUUCUUACCUUUUUCCCUCUUGUGAAAGAACUUUUAAUAUCUGAAUUUGGAAGAUGUUGGGGCUUCAGGUAGCAUUGUACUUAUAUGCCAUGCUUCUCUUGCAAGAUUUAGCUAGAUUAAACAGCAUAAAUGACAGCAUUUAAGAUUUAUAGGUAAGCAUUUUUUGUUUUUUUUUUUGUUUUUUGGUCCUCCCUUUGAUGGAAAAGUUUAUAGCUUGCGGUUGUUUUGCUUUCUUGAAGCAGUCAGGUAGUUGGAUGGCCUCCUAUUAGAGCAUUCAGAAUGAAUAGCUUGGUUAACCAAUCAAAGAAUCCAAAUGUUGAAGAAGAUAAGGGAGUUGGCGGGAACGAAAAGAAGGAAAAUUUGAAGAAGAAAACCAACUAUGGAAAUCACAAGACUGAUGAUACCCCAAAGGACAAAGGUCAUCUUGGUUAUAUAAAGGUGAAUAUGGAUGGAGUUCCCAUUGGAAGGAAAGUGGAUCUCAAUGCUCACAAUUGCUAUGAAUCCUUGGCCGAAGCAUUAGAGGAGAUGUUCUUUAAUACCAUUGCAAUUAGUAAGAUCCUUCUUUUUCCCUUUUGACUUUAAAUAGCCUUUUGCUCUCCAAGGGAAGAAAUAUGUUUUACCAUUUUUUGGGUUAUUUAUUCCCUUGCAGCUACAAGAUCUAAUUUGCUUCACCUACAAUGGCGAUAGAUAACUACUAGCAAGCACAAACACUUGCCAUCUGCUAUGCAUGUAUCUUUUGUUAACAGAUGUUACUCACCAUUCUUGUAGUGUUCUUGCUUCUGUGUUACUUAGAUGUGUUUGUAUCAUUCGGAUCAGGUGGUGAAAAGGAAUCAUCCAGACAGCCCCCAAAGCUUUUGGAUGAAUCAUCCGAAUUUGUGCUCACAUAUGAGGAUAAAGAAGGAGAUUGGAUGCUUGUGGGAGACGUACCAUGGGGGUAUGCAACUAAUUAGAUUGCCUUCUAAGUAUGGAAUAAAUAAUUUGCAGAAAGAUCGGUGCACUAGGAAACAUAUUUAUGUCAAAAUGCAGCAUACGCGGUUCUUUUGUCUAUUUGGCCCAAUACCAACUGAGUGAUGUUUCAGAGGUUCAGUUACAAGAAAUAGGGUUAACAUAAGAAGUUAACUAAGUAUACAGCAGCUGGAAUGUUUAUAUAAAGCCAAUCUUUCUAGUAACUGAGCAACUUGUGCAUCUUAGGCUGAGAUACUGGAGAAAAGUUUCCAGAUUUUCUUCUUACCAGAAAGACUAAAGCAUACAAUCACAAUAACUAUCUAAAAAUUCAAUUAACAAAAGCAUAAAAAAAAUCAACAAAAACAUAAUCAAUCUGUGUGAUGUGAAUUUCCAAGUGAUAAUUGCUGCAACACUAACACAUGACUUUUAUGUGCUUUGCAUUAGGAUGUUUCUAUGCACUGUCAAAAGGCUCAGGAUAAUGAGGAACUCAGAGGCUAAUGGAAUUGGUACGUGCAUUUUGUAGGCAAAUUUUCAUCCUCCUUCCAAUACUAUCAGCAAUUUUUUAUCGUGAUUAUGAUAUUUCUUUACAAAAACCUUCUCAAAAUUCCCAGCUCCAACAAUCCAACAAAGGCAUGAAAGACUGAAGGGCAAGCCAAUUUAAAUGAGUGCUGGUUCUUCUCCAACUACAAAACGGCAGAAAAAAAAUGAGGCCACGGCUUGAAAAGGAAACGAAGGAAAAAUACAGAACUCUUAAAGAGUUACAAGUUACAACAGCUCACUGAGAUGUCCUAAUUGUUGCUGCUUUUGGUUGCAUUUUUUGUUUUAUUGUGUUCAGAGUCUAGUAUGUCCUAUUCAAAUCAGUUUUUGCAUAUCUUUUUUAGUCAUACACAUACUUUUUCAAAGGCCGUCCCAUAAUGUAAAUAUGUGUUGCUUUAUAUCCAGCUUCAUGUGUUUGCUGAGAACAAUUUGAUUUUUUUUUUUCAUUAUUUCUUGCUAAAUGUCUUUGGAUUGUAUGAAAGAAGUUGUGUUUUCUUGUGCGUUAGAUGAUUACAACAUCAGCUGCAAGUUCUAUUAAUCUCCAGUGCUACUGUAAAGUCAGAGUUAGGGAACCAAAAGAAUUUCAACCCUAAUUGUGGAGAAUUUUGAGAGCACCAGUUUACAUCCCUGGAUUAAUGUGUAACACACAUGGUGUUUAGCUUUUUGUUAACAUCAGAAGAAUCCAUCGAUGACAUUUGAUGCUUGUCAAGAAUAUGACCUUUUGAACUUGAUGUGCUUGUAGCAUACUUUCUGACUUCUGAAAUGUGGUCCAAGCUUAUAUGAUUCUUGCUGAAAGAAUGAAAGUGCGUGGAUGAUACAAACCUACACUCCAAAUAAUGCAGUUUGGCUGUCACUUGAAAUGUGUUCACUCUUGCUGUUCACAGUUUAUUUAACUUGAUCAUUCGGAUUAUGCUGUCGAGUAGGUUUUGACUGUAUAGUCACGAUCAACAACGACCUGCUUUUAGUUGAUCGAAUAACCAACUGUAUGACACCAUUGUGGAGGGUGCAUCAAGGAAAGAAAAUCCCUUUUUCAGUAAUGUUCUUUCUUUUGGUUGCAAGCAUUGUGCAUCAAACAGCUGGAAAAGCUAAAAACAAAAGUGUCUCUUUCUCAGCGCAUCAAAGGGCUACUCAUCCCCUGACAGCUGCUAUCCAUGCAGGAAUUCAAUGACCGUGGGUGUUUAAUACAAGAUGCUCUAGCCCUGACAGGGUAGGCUGCAAUAUGCAAUGCUGCUGAGAUAUUCCUAGAGAAAACUUUGCAUUUUCUGGUUUUACGUUGUCCUGACAAACUUGGUUAUAUCGUGCAGAAAUGCUAGAAUUCUAGGAUGAUCUAAAGCAGACAACAUUGAUUUUCUGGCAGAAUUGCUGCUUAUUUGGAGAGCUCUGCUCAUAAUGAUUCUCGUUGCUCCAUAUGAGAUCUCCAGUCUUUCUUCUUGAUUUCAAAUGAAAAGAUAUAGAAUUCUGGAACAGCGAGACUUUAACACCUCUCACAAAAUGCAGUAGCUAUCCUACAAACAAUUGAAAGUAGCAAUUGCAACUUCCUUAACAAACAGGUGCAGUAGAUCGAUCUUUAAGUUUAAGACCCCAUCAUUUCCAAGAACUGUAGACAAACACGUAUUCUCAUUGGAACUUUAAUGCCAUCUGGAUUUAUUAGUUAAACCAGACCAAGCAUGGCCUCAGUCUCCCUCACCUAACCCUAUGAGAAGAAAACCACGAUUUUGCAUAAUCCUAAGACCUGCUAAUGCUUGUUCUAGAAUUUAACAUAUUUCAUUCCACGCCAUGAGCAUAUCAGCAAAUUUCAUCCAAGAUAGUGAGUCGGCAACUUUUCUUUCCCUAGCCAUUAAGUAGCAUGACACUACUAACCAUUGCAUUGUCUGAAUGCCUGACUGUUGGUAUUAAAUUGAAUCCACAAAAGAUUAUAAAGCUCGUAAAAGGGUUAACAAUGCACAUGAUUAUAGUAACUUACAGGUGAAACUUUUAAAUCUCUGGCAUUCAUGUAAUUGUUAAAAUUUGUUUCUCAACAACUCAAAACAAUGUACCUUAUGAGGAUGCCAAACCAGAGAGUAUUAAGCUGCUCUUAUUGAUGUAGGUUCACCCAAGCUUGAUCAUCACAAUUACAUUAUAAAUUUGAUCUUACAACAUGACAGUAGAAACUCAAAAUUCUGCUGUCGAGGAUUUCGGAUACAUGUCCUCCUGCAUUUCUAGUACACUAACAACCUUUCACAAUUACUAGUGAAACAUACAAACUAUCAAGGCUUCAGAUGGAUUCUUUUGACGCUACAGUUCCAGGAAUCAAGUUGCUGUCAGCGUACAAUGGCACACACUGAUC